rnacentral:lncRNA from 13 species
AUUUCCCCGUUUCUGUAGUUGGACAGAUCAGAUCAGUCCAGGAGCUACCACCUGUCUCUGUUCUGGGUUCCCACUGCAAGAGGUAUGCAAGGCCUCAGACAAGACUGCUGGCGCCCUGAUGGCCCCAUUCCUUCAGUCCAGGCGCAUCUCUCCACAUCUCCACUUACACCCAUGUGCACAGGACAGAAUGCAAUAUCCUAAAGCUGUUGAGAAAUCUGCAUCCCACAAAUGUGAAUCAGCGCUGAAGAAGCUCCUUGAAUCACAGCAGAAACAGGUGAGUAAUCCUGCCUUCCACCAUCUUGCAUUGCUAAUACCUCUGGCAUUAGUAAUGGGGGGAACAAAGGGCACCCCAGGGUCAUGAGGAAAAAAGGAAGUGACUAGAAGAUUCUGGUGAGGUCGACAUUUGGGCAAAGGCCAUGUGUGAUCUACCCCUGAUCUAAAGGAACUGUGGAAUCAAAAGUGGAUGGUGACAGUUUCUAAGGGAGAAGCAGGUGAGAGCAGGUACCCACCUGUGAGAACAGGUACUUUGGAUCUGGAAGUUUAUGAGCCUGGAGGAUGUGAUCUAUUGGAAAGGCUGCACCUGCAUUGUAUGAGUGUUCUUGCAGCAUCACAGGCAAAACAAUCCUGAGGUGGGGGAUUUUCACCUUGAACGCACCAACCUCUCCCUUUCUUUUGAAGAGAGAAACCCAAAGCCUGUUUCAAUGUACAUGCACUUGAGAAUUCCAUCCCCACCACUAGGGAAGGCAAAGAUUUAACCAUGUAGCCUGGUUCAUACUGGGGAUUCCUAAUUAGGCAGUGCAAUUAGUGUUCACCUGGGUUUUUUUCUACUGUGUCUUGUCCCUUCUCAGGAGACCCCAAUCUUGGGUUCACUAUUUUUAAUUUUCUUGAUAAAUGUAAUAUACAAGGACCUUUUCCAGUUUUUCGCUUUUUAAUGAGAGACACCACAUUCCUCAGAAUUUCACAAGGAGCUGAAAUUUGGAGAAAGGCAUAUGAAGCACACCUGUCUGUAUAAAGCCUCUCAUACAGAGAAGUCCUGUGUGCUAGUGUGGGACUAAGAAUAGGCUGACUUCAUCAUAGCUUUCAAAUUUUGUACCUCUGUCUUGUCCAAUCUUACUUUUAUUUAUAUUUCUCUACAAUAAGACUUUUUUUUCAAUAAUUCUGUUAUUGAUCCAACCAAGCUUAUAUCUCAACUCCAUUAACUAAAAAUGCAAUCCUGCACUGGAAUUUAAAAAUAAUGACAACUUUCUGCUAACUUUGUCUUGAGAUUCAUCCAAUUUAACUACACCAUGUCUCCUUACACUUCUAGUUCAGAGAUGUUUACUCAAGUUAUUAAUUCAGCAUUUUUUGCAGUUUCAGAGUAGGACUCUGACAGAUCAUCAGACUGAUCACCAGUGUACUGCAGUAUAAUGUGGCUGCCAUGUUCUGCAAGAUGCGUAAUGAAUUAGUACAUGUAAUUGUAAAUACUAG